rnacentral:rRNA from 1 species
UACAGAGGGUGCAAGCGUUGUUCGGAAUUACUGGGCGUAAAGCGCGUGUAGGCGGCCUUGUUAGUUGGAUGUGAAAGCCCUCGGCUCAACCGAGGAAGUGCAUCCAAAACUGCAAAGCUUGAGUGUCGGAGGGGGUGGCGGAAUUCCUGGUGUAGAGGUGAAAUUCGUAGAUAUCAGGAGGAACACCUGUGGCGAAGGCGGCCACCUGGACGACAACUGACGCUGAGACGCGAAAGCGUGGGUAGCAAACAGG